UCUAUCGAUCAUGGUUGGGAGAAAGAAAAUAGCUAAUAGAUCCAGCUUGACUAGAGCUUUCCUCCUCUUUCAGUGCUUCCUCGUGUCUGUAGACUUCCCCUUUUGUCAUGCUUUAUUGGGGAAUUUGCAUUUUUUCUCCUGUGUCUGGGCUACUACUAUGCAUGUUCCUUUGUGUUUAUCUACAGGGUCUCCAGGGAAGGCAUCAUCCCAACCUUCCAGCAUCAGUGAGCAAGUGCAACAGAUUAAGAAGUUUGUAGAAAUUGACUAAGGAGCUCCAGAAGAUGACAUGGUUUGCUGGGAAGGCAUCAUGCCAACCUUUCACCAUCAGUGAGAAAGUACAGCACAUUAAGAAGUUGGAGAAACUGACUAUUGAGCUCAAGAAGAAAACCUAAAAGAAGAAGGUGUGUUUGAAUAACAGUGGAGAUAUGGCAAGCAAUGUGUGAGCUCUCAUCCUGGAUUUUAAUAGAAAAAGAAUGGAUUUUCUGUCCUCAGAGGAACACAGAAAGCUGGUAAGCUACAGAAGCAUAGUAACUUAGACUUAGAUAAGAAAACUUUUGAUUUUUAUUUAUUUUAAAGAUUUAAUUUAUUUUAUUUUUAAGAGUAUACUUUACUUGUCAGACACACCAGAAGAGGGCAUCAGAUGACAUUAUAGAUGAUUGUAUGCCAUGAUGUGUACACUUGGAAUUGAACUCAUGACCUUUGGAAAAAACAGGCAGUACUCUUAAUUGCUGAAUAAUCUUCCCAGCCUAAACUAUUUCUCCU